rnacentral:rRNA from 1 species
ACGCACGCUGGCGGCGUGCUUAACACAUGCAAGUCGAACGGAAAGGCUCCAGCUUGCUGGAGUACUCGAGUGGCGAACGGGUGAGUAACACGUGGGUGAUCUGCCCUGCACUUCGGGAUAAGCCUGGGAAACUGGGUCUAAUACCGGAUAGGACCGCACUUUGGUGUGUGUGGUGGAAAGGUUUUUCUGGUGUGGGAUGAGCUCGCGGCCUAUCAGUUUGUUGGUGGGGUAAUGGCCUACCAAGACGGCGACGGGUAGCCGGCCUGAGAGGGUGGACGGUCACAUUGGGACUGAGAUACGGCCCAGACUCCUACGGGAGGCAGCAGUGGGGAAUAUUGCACAAUGGGGGAAACCCUGAUGCAGCGACGCCGCGUGGGGGAUGAAGGCCUUCGGGUUGUAAACUCCUUUCGCUAGGGACGAAGCUUUUUGUGACGGUACCUGGAGAAGAAGCACCGGCUAACUACGUG